UACGUAGGGUGCGAGCGUUGUCCGGAAUUAUUGGGCGUAAAGAGCUCGUAGGCGGUGUGUCACGUCGGCCGUGAAAACCUGCAGCUUAACUGUGGGCGUGCGGUCGAUACGGGCAUCACUGGAGUUCGGCAGGGGAGACUGGAAUUCCUGGUGUAGCGGUGAAAUGCGCAGAUAUCAGGAGGAACACCGGUGGCGAAGGCGGAUCUCUGGGCCAGCACUGACACUGGAGGAGCGAAAGCGUGGGUAGCAAACAGG
rnacentral:rRNA from 1 species